rnacentral:sRNA from 1 species
AAAGCGAAGAAGAACAAA